AAACUUUUCUGAAGCUAAUAACCAUGCGGCCACGCCAUAUAGGAAAAUGGAUGCCCGUCUGCCUCACAUUCUAUGGGCUUGACGAUGCAACAAGUGUUCGGGAGUAGUUUAGUUUAUUUGCACAACAACGUCCAAUCGACAGUGUUCUAAUGAGUUUUGUAAAACAUUGGCCAAAUGUUUCCUAACGAUAAUCUCUGUAAACAUUUAUGACAAGGAUUUAGAUACACAUAUUACUAUCAAUGAACUGUUUUGCUGUUGCUACGUCCGAAGAAUUCUGAACGUUAUAAAAAAUAUAAUAAAUUUUGAGGUAUUCUCCAUUCUCAUCAUGUGUAUACUAGUCUAAUAAAAUAAGAAGUAGGUUUUCGCUACCCUGGACCAAAUCUAUCCUUUAUCUCAAGCAACUCUGCAGGUUCUGAUGGGAUUUGAGCCCUUUCACAGAUUCAUAUUUGCUAAAUCGAACUUUAAAGCACACAAAACACUGAUCAGACCGAUAAUCCUCUAAGGCCACGAGACCUGGUAAAUGCUCGUGGAGGACCAACGCGCCUUUGGAGUUUUCGAACGGAAAGUACUGCGUACCAUCUGUGGCGGAUGAAAAAGAUGGAAGAUGGAUCAUGACAGAGGCUGAUGAACCACGAGUUGCAUCAGCUGCUAACUAAGAGAAACACUUAUCGUAUAAAUGGCGAAAAUCGGGAGACUGUCCUGGGCUGGGCAUGUCUGAAGGAUGUCUGACGAAAGCCAGGUGAAAAUGGUUCUCGAAACUGGAACGAAGCGAGCAAAGUUGCUCGAUCAUGUGGAAACGACAGGCGAGCUGCAGCCAGGGCUUUGAAAAAUCCUUUUCUAUAAAGACGCUUGAACGUUUUCUCGGUCAGUUACAAGCUUUCCUUUUUGUGCGAUCCUUCGCUCAAUUUCAACUUGUACCUGCAGCACGUUCAAUUUCAACGGACGGUUGAAAGCAGAGCGAAUAGGAAACGAGCUGCGUGCAACGUUGCUUUCCGCAAAAGGACCGCCGCUUCGGCGUUCAAGUCCGCCGUACAAUCUUCUGUCGGCAGUCACGUGCCAUUUUUCGUUUGCGUUCAUGAUCGACCGAAAAAACAGUCAAUCAGUUUGAAGCAUUCUUACGUUUGAGGCUCAUGUGCUGGUGGUAUACUGUUGCACCUACAGUGCCAAUUUUUACUAACCGGGACCUCAUUCGUAAUGAAUUAACCAACGCUUACUUCAAUCAUCUGCGUCGAAUAUCGCUUAGCAGUAGAGUUUGUGAGUGAUAUUCAAUAUAGUCGUCAUUCAAGCCACGUGGUAAUGGCUUUAUGAGUAAGAUAGUUUUUCUCACAACAUCGGCGGGAAAGAAGAUAGGGUAGAACAGGGCUAGUUGGUUACGGGGUUAGUUGGUCAAUGAGGAUUACAUCAAACCAACGCAUCGAAAAAACUGUGUUUUAUUUUCACAUAUCAUUUAUAUGAAAAAAUUGUGUUAUAUGGGUGAUAUAAUCAGAUAAGCAAAGAAACUAAAUGACAAAACAAAGUGCAGUUGUGCAAAUUGUGAUUUAAAAAAAUGUUUAUCGUUGUCCGUCGGUUUAUAAAUAAAGAAUAAUAAACACCCGUUUUCAAAUGACAAUUCGCUCAUUAACAGAUUUUGAGCAGGUUUGAGCAAGAAUUCAAUUAAAAAUACGAAGGACAACGAUUAAGAUUUCUCAAAACCACAUUUUGCUCAGAAAAUUACUCUCUUUCAGCUGAUCUAUAACAAUCAGAAAACCAUAAAAACUUCAGAAUUGCGGAAUUCGGUUCGAGUUUUCAAUUUAACACAUGUUUUCUUUGAUCAAGAGUCCAUUCAAACCAUCAAUGUAAUUUCAACGUAUACACCAAAGUCGCUUUUUACGCGAGGGAUACGUGCCGCGUAAAAGGAAACCGCGUAAAAAAUAAUCGCGUAAAUUCCUGAAUCUACGUGAAAAAACGCGUGAAUUCCGGAUUCCGAAAUUAAAAAAUACGGAAUCCGCGUAAGAAAAAAAAACCGCGUAAAUUCCGGAAUCUGCUUAAAAAACCGCGUAAUUUCCGGAAUCCGCGUAAAAAUUACCACAUAAAAAAAGCUGCGCAAAAAACUGUAAAAAAAGGCGACCUUAGUGAACUUUUCGUCAAGCAAGGGAGACACUUUUUCAUCCAAUAAUGAGUAGCUUUUGCGAACGUCUAAGCGAAAAACUGAAAACGAUUUGACUUCCGCCUAAAUGCUACAGACUGCCGUUAAUGCAUUGGUGGAGGAAAACUGAAUUGUCCUUUCGAAAUAAAAGUUGUCACUUUACCCCACUCGCUGAUCAACUGCUACCCUACCUGAGGAGCUAAUUGGCCAAUCUGUCAACCGCUCAAAAAAGAUAAAAUACACUGAAGCCUUUUAACGCGUAUUACGGAAUUUACGCAGAUUUCACAACUUACGCUGUUUUUUUAUGCAAAUUUCAGAAUUUACGCGUUUUUAACGCGGAUUUCGGAAUUUACACGUUUUUUUUUUUACCCCAAUUUACGAUUUCAGAGUUUUCACGGUUGUUUUUACCCGAAUGUCGGUAAUAAUCCACGCGGUUUCUACUCGGAUUUCGGAAUUAACGCGGUUUUCAGAAAUUUCUCGUUCUUUUACGCGAAUUUUGGAAAUCACCAGUUUAUUUACUCAGACUUCGGAAUUCACGUGAAGUUUUACGCAGAUCUUACAAUUAACGCCAUUAUUUACCCGGAUUUUGGAACUUACGCGUUUUUCACGCGGAUUUUUUCCGCGCUACGUGUCUCCUCGUAAAAAAAAGAAACUUUAGUGAAUCCGCAAAAUUGCGAGCUGUUUAAUGUAGUUCAUAUUUUCGCAUAAUACAGCCAUACCUGGGUAGAAGGCAACCUCGAUUCAACGUAACUUGGUAUAACGUAACUUUUACCUAGAUAUAACGUAACUUUUUAAGAUGUAUUUAUAUUGAAUAUAAAUGAUAUAGCAACUGUUUUUGGGGUAUAAAUUGCUUCGAAAAUAUGUAGUAAGUUUUGAAACCAAUGAAACCAAUGCGAAAGUCCAAAUGGGCAUAAGAAAGGUUUUGAAAUACUAAUGGGUGAUGGGAUUAGGUUUUCACGCAUCCUUCAGUAACAAUUUACAGUCUUGCAUCAACUUUUUUUUUUGUUCGUUGAAAUUUUCUCUAAAGAAAAGCAUAAGAAAGGUUUCAAAUUACUGGUAGGUGAUGGGAAAUAGGUUUCCGCGCAUUUUUGCAUUUCAACAGUCUUGCAUCAAUUAAAAAACUUUUUUUUUUUGCUUGCUGAAAAAUUGUCCUAAAUGGGCUUAAGAAUGGUUUAAAAUUACUGAUAGGUGAUGGAAAAUAGGUUUUCGCGCGUCUUUGAGUAAUCAUUAACAUUCUUGCAUGAAUUUAAAAAAAAAUUGCUUCGAUAUAACGUAGCGGUAAUGAAAAUAAAGUUGCCUUAUAUCGCGGUAUGACUGUAUUACCGGUAUAAAGUAAUGGAACAUUUUUACCAAAAAUGGCCAACUUUUCCCGCUCUACCCUAAGUACCGAUUUAUGCAUUAGUCAUAUGUUACACAAAUUUCAAAGUUCUAUUCCAAUCCAAUCAGACAUACAAAAACAAAUACGAAAACAAACGCAAAACGAAACGGUAAGAAUGAUACCAGCCGCCCUCAUUCACUUCGUGUCUUGCACGUACACAUAAUCGGAGAGUGAACGUAAUUAACGAGCGCUGCCAUAGCGAAUGACCGCCACCUAGAAACUAAAAAAACGAUCAACUUUACUUUGACUGUUUUUUCUCUGGGCGAUCGCUCGACUGUAUCGAGCAGUCAAGUUGACUGCGGAAGGCGUUCGCAUUCGUGUUUUAACAGUCAACUUGCGAUCCUUUGAAAAGCACUGGCUGCAGCCAUGGAUCGAAUUGAUUGGAGACGACUUCUUCGAACAACAAGGGACACUACGGCCUGGAGCUGAUUGGUAAGAUGGAAAUAAUUAUAAGUGGCUCUCCAAAAAAUGGUGGGAAUACGAUCCUUGAGUUGUCAGAUAUUCGUUAAAAUUUGGAUUUUGGCAUCAAGUCUUGCUGAACCACAAGGACUGUUCUCCGUUCUUGUUACCUAGGGUAAUGAAGAGUAUUUUCGGCAGUGAUUAAAAUAGAAUCUCAAGGAUUAGGAGCAACCUACGGAACUAAUUGUUUGCUUGAUUACAUUGAACCACAAAUAUGAUGUGGUCGUCAUUCUCGGUUCUUGUAGACUUGCUACCACAACACUAUCGUCAAGGAAAAUCUGCUGACAUUGUGGUUUUCAGUUCCACAAAUAUAACAUGUGCUUGUGCUGUCAGUAACUCUUCCAACUCGCCUACCCUUGAACGAUGAAAUUCUACCACUAGUGCUAGUAGACUGCGGGCUCGUAUCGAAACUUCGACAGAAUCAUUCACUUAUUUGAUUUUGCUUCCGCAUUGAAGAACACUAUUGCAAUUUGAUCGAAAAAAGAUUUUUUGUAUUCAA